rnacentral:rRNA from 1 species
CAUAGGUUAAUGAGGCGAACCGGGGGAACUGAAACAUCUAAGUACCCCGAGGAAAAGAAAUCAACCGAGAUUCCCCCAGUAGCGGCGAGCGAACGGGGAGGAGCCCAGAGCCUGAAUCAGUGUGUGUGUUAGUGGAAGCGUCUGGAAAGGCGCGCGAUACAGGGUGACAGCCCCGUACACAAAAAUGCACAUAUUGUGAGCUCGAUGAGUAGGGCGGGACACGUGGUAUCCUGUCUGAAUAUGGGGGGACCAUCCUCCAAGGCUAAAUACUCCUGACUGACCGAUAGUGAACCAGUACCGUGAGGGAAAGGCGAAAAGAACCCCGGCGAGGGGAGUGAAAAAGAACCUGAAACCGUGUACGUACAAGCAGUGGGAGCCUCUUUAUGGGGUGACUGCGUACCUUUUGUAUAAUGGGUCAGCGACUUAUAUUCUGUAGCAAGGUUAACCGAAUAGGGGAGCCGAAGGGAAACCGAGUCUUAACUGGGCGUUAAGUUGCAGGGUAUAGACCCGAAACCCGGUGAUCUAGCCAUGGGCAGGUUGAAGGUUGGGUAACACUAACUGGAGGACCGAACCGACUAAUGUUGAAAAAUUAGCGGAUGACUUGUGGCUGGGGGUGAAAGGCCAAUCAAACCGGGAGAUAGCUGGUUCUCCCCGAAAGCUAUUUAGGUAGCGCCUCGUGAAUUCAUCUCCGGGGGUAGAGCACUGUUUCGGCAAGGGGGUCAUCCCGACUUACCAACCCGAUGCAAACUGCGAAUACCGGAGAAUGUUAUCACGGGAGACACACGGCGGGUGCUAACGUCCGUCGUGAAGAGGGAAACAACCCAGACCGCCAGCUAAGGUCCCAAAGUCAUGGUUAAGUGGGAAACGAUGUGGGAAGGCCCAGACAGCCAGGAUGUUGGCUUAGAAGCAGCCAUCAUUUAAAGAAAGCGUAAUAGCUCACUGGUCGAGUCGGCCUGCGCGGAAGAUGUAACGGGGCUAAACCAUGCACCGAAGCUGCGGCAGCGACGCUUAUGUGUUGUUGGGUAGGGGAGCGUUCUGUAAGCCUGUGAAGGUGGCCUGUGAGGGUUGCUGGAGGUAUCAGAAGUGCGAAUGCUGACAUAAGUAACGAUAAAGCGGGUGAAAAGCCCGCUCGCCGGAAGACCAAGGGUUCCUGUCCAACGUUAAUCGGGGCAGGGUGAGUCGACCCCUAAGGCGAGGCCGAAAGGCGUAGUCGAUGGGAAACAGGUUAAUAUUCCUGUACUUGGUGUUACUGCGAAGGGGGGACGGAGAAGGCUAUGUUGGCCGGGCGACGGUUGUCCCGGUUUAAGCGUGUAGGCUGGUUUUCCAGGCAAAUCCGGAAAACCAAGGCUGAGGCGUGAUGACGAGGCACUACGGUGCUGAAGCGACAAAUGCCCUGCUUCCAGGAAAAGCCUCUAAGCAUCAGGUAACAUCAAAUCGUACCCCAAACCGACACAGGUGGUCAGGUAGAGAAUACCAAGGCGCUUGAGAGAACUCGGGUGAAGGAACUAGGCAAAAUGGUGCCGUAACUUCGGGAGAAGGCACGCUGAUAUGUAGGUGAAGCGACUUGCUCGUGGAGCUGAAAUCAGUCGAAGAUACCAGCUGGCUGCAACUGUUUAUUAAAAACACAGCACUGUGCAAACACGAAAGUGGACGUAUACGGUGUGACGCCUGCCCGGUGCCGGAAGGUUAAUUGAUGGGGUUAGCGGCAACGCGAAGCUCUUGAUCGAAGCCCCGGUAAACGGCGGCCGUAACUAUAACGGUCCUAAGGUAGCGAAAUUCCUUGUCGGGUAAGUUCCGACCUGCACGAAUGGCGUAAUGAUGGCCAGGCUGUCUCCACCCGAGACUCAGUGAAAUUGAACUCGCUGUGAAGAUGCAGUGUACCCGCGGCAAGACGGAAAGACCCCGUGAACCUUUACUAUAGCUUGACACUGAACAUUGAGCCUUGAUGUGUAGGAUAGGUGGGAGGCUUUGAAGUGUGGACGCCAGUCUGCAUGGAGCCGACCUUGAAAUACCACCCUUUAAUGUUUGAUGUUCUAACGUUGGCCCGUAAUCCGGGUUGCGGACAGUGUCUGGUGGGUAGUUUGACUGGGGCGGUCUCCUCCUAAAGAGUAACGGAGGAGCACGAAGGUUGGCUAAUCCUGGUCGGACAUCAGGAGGUUAGUGCAAUGGCAUAAGCCAGCUUGACUGCGAGCGUGACGGCGCGAGCAGGUGCGAAAGCAGGUCAUAGUGAUCCGGUGGUUCUGAAUGGAAGGGCCAUCGCUCAACGGAUAAAAGGUACUCCGGGGAUAACAGGCUGAUACCGCCCAAGAGUUCAUAUCGACGGCGGUGUUUGGCACCUCGAUGUCGGCUCAUCACAUCCUGGGGCUGAAGUAGGUCCCAAGGGUAUGGCUGUUCGCCAUUUAAAGUGGUACGCGAGCUGGGUUUAGAACGUCGUGAGACAGUUCGGUCCCUAUCUGCCGUGGGCGCUGGAGAACUGAGGGGGGCUGCUCCUAGUACGAGAGGACCGGAGUGGACGCAUCACUGGUGUUCGGGUUGUCAUGCCAAUGGCACUGCCCGGUAGCUAAAUGCGGAAGAGAUAAGUGCUGAAAGCAUCUAAGCACGAAACUUGC